GCCUCACUGGCUCAGUUGGUGGAGUGUGUGACUCUUAAUCUUGUGGUUGUGGGUUUGAACCCCACAUUUGGUG
rnacentral:tRNA from 1 species